GUGGGACCCCAAGAAGGUUCUGGAGGUUCUUGGGACCCCCAGGAAAGUUGUGGAGGUUCUUGAGGGGUUAUGAGAAGGUCCUGGAGGUUCUUGAGGUUCCAGGAAGGUUCUAGAGGUUCUUGAGGAGAUUCUUUAGGAGGUUCUGGAUGCUCUUGGGGAGGUUCUGAAGGUUCUGGAUGCUCUGGGGGAGGCCCUGGAGCCCCCAGGAAGGUUCUGGGUGCUCUUGAGGAGGUUCUGGAGGCUCUGGAUGCGGCCCUGGAGCCCCCAGGAAGGUUCUGGGUGCUCUUGAGGAGGUUCUGGAUGCUCUUGGGG